GGUGGGAUGGCCGAGUGGUUGAAGGCGCCGCUCUCGAAAAGCGGUAUCCCCCUGAUGGGGGAUCCUGGGUUCAAAUCCCAGUCCCACCGCCA
rnacentral:tRNA from 2 species